GUCUAGUUUUUAUUAAAAACUGUUUGUGAGACGUCACUUAGUAGCAUGUCCUUUUGUCAUUUCCUUAGUAGAUCUGAACAUACUUGGCUCAUUGGUUCUGUUUUGGGGAAUUAUAAGGCAGGUGAUGAUCUUCAUGUAGUUACUGCAUUAGCACAGCCAAAUGUUUUCCUUUCUUCCUCUUGCCGCUGGUUAUCUUUAUGGAACUUGCUGAACAUCCUACAGUGAUAUCUGAAGCUCCUCCUUGAAUUCUUAAAAAGUCUUCCACAUGGCCUCCCUAGGGACAACAGUUCUGGGGGCAUAAUCACAAAAAAAUGCUUGUGCUGCGCUACCUGAAAAUAGGGUUGUGCUAAACUGAGGAGUGAGCUAAGAGAGUGCACCAACUUCCACAAGGGUUCAGGGUAAUCAGGACAUUUGAGUUGAAGCUUGAGGAAGCUGAGACUUUGGCUCCGAGGUGUGCUGAGAUGCUUUGACAGAAGGUUAACACAUUUCUGUAGAGAAAGCCCUAGUGUUGUGCUUGUACCAUGCGUGUAAUGGGGAUGGAUACCAAAGGCUGACAAAUCAUGCAGAUUUGUAAAUUUUCACAAGUUAUUGGUGUCUGUAUGUCACUGGAGGUAAUAAUAAUUAAAUAGAUGCAUUUACAGACUUCUAAAUGCUGCCACAUAAACAGACUAAAAUGAAAAAUUACACAUUACUGCCAAUUUGAAGAACUUUAUCCAAAAACACAGUUUCCACCUGAUGUUAACAAAACUUGUCAUUUUCAUCAUCGUAAAAGAAUGAAUCAGAACCAAGUACAUACAUAGUGAAAGCAGUCAAUAACUGGAUAAGAAUAUAACAGGAGCUGAAAAGAAUACAGUUCUGUUAGCUAAACUUGCUUACUACAGUAAACUUAGAGAAAACAGAGGGUAUUCUUUAAGUUGUUUUUCUCUUUACAGAUAGAGAUCCACAUUUCAAGAAUGAUUAUUACAAUAGUAAAUGUUUGUUUAAACCAAUUCAUAUACUACAAAAAAAAUACAAAGAAAUCCAGCAAACCUGUUAGUGUGCAAAACAAGGUAGUGGACACAAAGAACAAGAGAUUAAACUGUCCAGUAUUAUUAGGGAAAAUAACAGUGCAUUCUAAGUGGCUCCUGUAAACUUUUUUAAUGUGAGCUGAAGGAGGAUGUCAUUUCCAAAUGACUUCCAUUUUACGUGAAGUACAGAUGCUUUUUCAGAAGUGCCACUAAUAAGUUUAUUUUGGAAAACAAAACAUAUCUCAAAUAUUGCCUAUGUGUUUAACUGAAAAGUAAAUGGUAUAGGUUACCUCAUAAAGCUAGCUACUGGAUUUAUUUACAUUAGCUUAAAAUUUCAUUGAGGCUUUGCACUCCCUUCUAAACCUUUAUAACUUCAUAACUGAAAGAGAAGUUAGAGGAUUAGAGAAAUAACAAAACACUUUUCAGGUUUGGUGCUCAGACAAUAGAAAAAAUAGUGCAACAGUUCACUAUGUUAUAUACCUUUCCAGCAAAGCUAUCAAAAUAUUCAGACUUGUCUAUUAUUCUCACUUAAAAAAAUACAGUGCUCUUCUUGCUUUCUUUUGAUUAGGGAACUAUGAACAUCUUCAGAUGUGUUUAAAAUUAAAAAAAAAAAAAAAAAAAAAAAAGAGGAGGAAGAAAAAAAGAAAAAAAAGGAAAUGCCAGCAACCCAGAGCUAGUCCUGCAAGUUGAUCCACUGAAGCAGAUUUCAGAAGUGAAGAAGUGUUAUUAAUGCAGUUGACUCCAGGUGGAGGUAAAGAUCCCUCUGCAAAGAGCAGCUUGCAGGCUUGGGACCAUCAGCUUCCUUGUGAAGGCAGCAACUGAAAUGUGUUUUAGGACUAGAACUGUAAAUAGUUUAAUCUUACUCAUUAAUGGAACUGAACUCCUCAGGAAACACAACAUAGCUUGGUGACUGGAGAUCAGGAAGCUCCCAAAUCAAUACCAGAACAAACAUGGACUGAGGGAAGGUUGUUCAGUGUUUUUCAGAUCCUAAGGACUACACUUCACUGUGUUUAAAAAUAAGUUUUAGAAAUGCUUAAGCUGAUUAUAGUAGCUUUACCACACAUCUGAGAAAUACAGGUGUCACUUAGAUGUGAAAUACCAAUGGCUCAGCACAUUGUGAUUGUUUUUCUUUUCGGAAAAGCCUGUGGCUCAGGGCUUGGCCCUGCAGUAAAUCAUAGAGAGCUUUCCUACUCUUCUGUGUAUGGUAUUCUGUAGUGAGUGCUUUCAGUACCUUUCACUUCACCCCAAGUACUUUGCCAACGACACUGAUUUGCAAAGAAAAACAAAGGACUUGGGGCUGGAGAAAACUUGAUAAAUGCAGAAUGAUACAGUAGUAGUUGUGGAGGGAAAAAAAAUAAAUCUAAAAGGUACCUUUGUGUUAUAUGGAUACUGUAUGAUUCAAUUGGAAAGCUUAAUGGUCACAUUCUGCUAUUCUGCUUUGGGGAAAUACAUUGCAGUUUGUUGAAGUGGAUAAUGACUAAGAUCUAUCUACGGGAAGGGACAUUACUUUAAUGAUCUUUGUAUAAUGUUACUACGAAGGUCACCAAAGGUUGUUAAGAACGGCUGAAGAACAUUGCUGACAUCCAAACACUCACAUGCUCUGAUGCCAGAGAGAAUGGAAAGAAGACAAAGGGAGAAAUAAAAUGAAGGUAUGAAGAUGCAUGGUGACAAGUGAUUUUGAAGUGAUGGAGGAGAGUUCACAUCAAGGUACUUUGGGAAGGAGACUAAGCAGCACUUCAGAAGAUUAUUCUUGCAGAAUGGGAAACUUCCUAUGCAUUUUCAACGAAUGAAAAAUAUCUUCACUGGCAGUUUGCACUGGAAAGGUUGCUCUGCAGUUUGGUACUGACAGCUCUCAAGUCCUAUUGCAAACAAAGAUUUUGGAGAGGGGGACCUCUUUACUUUCAAGGUAACUAUCAGUCUGCUCACUUUUUCAUUUAAAUUGCUAAAUACACUAAUUAUAGCAGAUGAGUCUCUCUGCUAUUGCUGCUACAUCAGCUUCAAAAUCUGUUGCUCAAUUUUGCAAAUGCGUUGAUAUGAAAAUACACCUCACUCCCUCAUUUUAUUUUGGGGGAUAUUAAUACAGUGGACAAGCACAGAUAGCCAGCCCUGGAGAUAAAACUGUAACAGGAAUGGCUGUGUGCAUUUUCUCACCCAGUCCUCCUAUCUAAUAUCCCUUUUCAGCUACCUCCAUGAGUGCUCAGCCUUCCAUCUCCUUGCUGAGGUGGCUGCACAGCAGAUGCAUUCAUCUGCUGCCUGCUUAGACCAAAAUAAAAUUUGUAAGUGACAGUUUGAUUAUUUGAUAUGUUGUUACAGAUCCUGGGGCCAUGGCUAGAAAAGGCACAAAGGGCAUUCAGUUUGUUUCCCUGCUUCCUGUGGAUCAUUAAUAACACUGGAGAGCGAAGUAUUGCUUUUGUGCUUACAGCAUAGCUGGGAGCCUAGUACUGCAGGUAGUUUUGCUUUAUCUUCUACAAAACAAACUCUGAGCAGGCUCUUGUAACUGUUAUCUGUGCUAAAUGCUUUUAUUUCAAGUAGAUUUUCUACAAGUGGAAUCCUGCUCUGAAGCUGAUGCACAAAAUACUCAGCAAAGCACAGAAGCCUCUUCAACUUUUUUACAGUAUAGCUCUGGGGAGUGUAUUUGCGCUUACUUGUUAUCCCUCAGUGACAGCACUUCUCCAGAUGCUGGGCUCCAAGGAGAGGAGGAGCAGCUACGGCACUCCAAGUUAAGCUGUGCUGACAGUUGAGGAUGUAACUUAUACACAUGUAUAAAGAGGCAGUAAUAG
ensembl:lncRNA